rnacentral:rRNA from 1 species
CGAACGCUGGCGGCGUGCUUAACACAUGCAAGUCGAACGGAAAGGCCCUGCUUUUGUGGGGUGCUCGAGUGGCGAACGGGUGAGUAACACGUGAGUAACCUGCCCUUGACUUUGGGAUAACUUCAGGAAACUGGGGCUAAUACCGGAUAGGAGCUCCUGCUGCAUGGUGGGGGUUGGAAAGUUUCGGCGGUUGGGGAUGGACUCGCGGCUUAUCAGCUUGUUGGUGGGGUAGUGGCUUACCAAGGCUUUGACGGGUAGCCGGCCUGAGAGGGUGACCGGCCACAUUGGGACUGAGAUACGGCCCAGACUCCUACGGGAGGCAGCAGUGGGGAAUAUUGCACAAUGGGCGGAAGCCUGAUGCAGCAACGCCGCGUGCGGGAUGACGGCCUUCGGGCUGUAAACCGCUUUCGCCUGUGACGAAGCGUGAGUGACGGGAAUGGGUAAAGAAGCACCGGCUAACUACGU